rnacentral:ncRNA from 2 species
CAACCAUCCAGAGCGACCGAGAGACCUGGCUCGUUGACGUCGCAGCAACCCUUCCGAAUUUUUCGGGUGCGGGUGCUACCGCCGGGAUCGAUGGAAG